GGCCUAACACAUGCAAGUCGAGCGGUAGCGGGCCUGACCACUCUCGAGUGGUUCAGGUGCCGACGAGCGGCGGACGGGUGCGUAACACGUAGGAAUCUGCCCGGUAGUGGGGGAUAGCCCGGAGAAAUUCGGAUUAAUACCGCAUACGCCCUAAGGGGGAAAGCAGGGGAUCGGUUCGCCGACCUUGCGCUAUCGGAUGAGCCUGCGUCGGAUUAGCUGGUUGGUGGGGUAAAGGCCUACCAAGGCGACGAUCCGUAGCUGGUCUGAGAGGAUGAUCAGCCACACUGGGACUGAGACACGGCCCAGACUCCUACGGGAGGCAGCAGUGGGGAAUAUUGCACAAUGGGCGAAAGCCUGAUGCAGCCAUGCCGCGUGUGUGAAGAAGGCCCUAGGGUUGUAAAGCACUUUCAGUGGGGAGGAAAGGUCGAAGGUUAAUACCCUUUGGCUGUGACGUUACCCACAGAA
rnacentral:rRNA from 1 species